CUGGGUUAAUGUUAGUAAUGGCGAAUGAACACUAUCAAACCAAUAUCGAAUUACAUUAUCGAUGAUAAUGUGAAGUGUGAUAUUGUCGUGGUAUUUUCGAGUUUUCUUUUUGUGACUAAGUAGAUUGAUUGCUUUAUUACAUAGAGGGUGAAAUUCCCAUUGUUAAAAAAAGAAACUCGUAUUCUUACUACGUUUGAGUAAGGUUGCUUGAGAAGGCAACUCCAAUAUGCAUGAUGGACUUCAUGCAAGGUCAAUUAUUUUCGCGAGACCGAUAGCUUACAAGUACCGUGAGGGAAAGUUGCAAAGUACUCUGAAAGGAGAGUUCAAAAGCCUGUGAAACCGUAUACUGCAAAGCAAAUGACUGUUUGCUACCAUUGAUCAAUCAGUUUCUUGUCGUUUUUGACUAAUGAACUUUAUUGUUUGUUAAAAUAGAUGAAAGACUAGAAACGUUCUUGAUACAUGGUUUGUACGUUGUGAUUGGUUGUUUUAUCACAUAUUGUCGAACGGGUUAUCUUUGUAUGAUCCAAUAGCAUUUUUGAUUGUGUUGAGAUUUUCUCAAAGAAACAAACUGAUCGCGAACUUUUAGUCAUGACUUUUAUGCUGUAUUAAAUGACUUUCAUUUUGUCGGAUUUCCGACAUAUGCAGUAAGUUAUGAUUGUAUGUUGUGCAAUUUCUUGAAAUAGUCAUUUGACCCGUCUUGAAACACGGACCAAGGAGUUCAACUCGUGCGCGAGUUUACAUUUUUGAAUAAAAUAUGAAACGCAGUGAAAGCAAACAUGCGAAAGCAAUUUGCUAACAAUUUUGUAUACUUAUGUAUACUUGAUUGAUCAGCACAUUAUUGGGUCGCACAUAUUUUGAAGUAGUGUUGACCGCGAAAGAGCGUUCGAGUUGUGACCCGAAAGAUGGUGAACUAUGCCUGACGAGAACGAAGCCAGGGGAAACCCUGGUGGAAGUUCGCAGCGCUUUUGACGUGCAAAUCAAUCGCCGGACUUGGGUAUAGCGGCG
rnacentral:rRNA from 1 species